rnacentral:tRNA from 2 species
GGAAGGAUACUCUAAUUGGUAAGAGACCUGUCUUGAAAACAGGCGUGGACGUGAGGAGCGUUGUGGGGGUUCAAGUCCCUCUCCUUCCGC